UAGCUAUGGUGAAUUGUGCUGCUAUGGACAUAGGGGUGCAUAUAUCCUUUCUGAUUGUGUUUCUGGUUUCUUGGGAUAUAGUCCUAGGAGUGUAAUCACUGGGUUAAAUGGGAGUUCCAUUUUUGUCCAGGCUUAUUGAUGCUGCUGGAGAGACCUCUGCUAAAAAGUUGGCAACAUGGUUGGCUUAUCAGGGAGCGCACUGAGUUUGCUUAGCUUGAUCUUUAAGAUAUAUCUAAUUUUGGACAAAUGGAUAAAAUUAUGUUUCUAAACUUACAAAGCUGAAGACUACUUUCAAAUACUUCCCAUCUGUGAAUCUCUUCUCCAAGUUACACAUUCAGGUAGUUCUGGGGUCAGGGAGAUUUUAAAGCUUGACCCAGUGUGCGCUACUACAGAAAUGACGUCAGCUGGCAGAACUGGAAAGACGCACACUGCUUGCUGCUCUCCAGUAUCUAUUGUUUCCUUUGUCUUUAUGAGCAAAACCAAGAUGAUUUUGUUCAGGACAGCAAUAUGCCUGGCUAAAAACUGUUUUGAAGCUAGAGAUGGCCGUGUGAUAUAGUUCUUGCUAAUAAGUGGAAGUCUAUUUGUGGUUUCUGGAAAAGUUUGUUUUCUUGCCCUAAGUAGGCACGUACUAACCCUUUCUCCUGCCUUUUCUUCUCAUUUCCUUUCUGGAAUGUGGGUGUAACAGCUGGAGCUGCAGCAGCCAUUUCCAGGCCGUGGGGGAAAGCCCAGGAUAAUUAUGUAUCUGUUGAAAUUCCAGAAACUGCCUACUUCUAAACCUGUUUUUUGUUUUUUCUAAAGGAAAUAAAUCUCUAAUUUGUGUAAGCUCAUUUGGUUGGUUUUUGGUUACAUGCAAUCAAAUGCAAUUUCCAAUGGACAUAGUAACAUUUAAAUUAGCUUAAAAAUAUUAUGCAGGUCAAUGCAUAAUGUUACUUAUAUUUUCCUUCACCAUCACAAGGUAUCUUGGAUAUUUCUGAAUUAUGUAAAAUGGGAACACAUUCUCUUGUAGUCAAGGUAUCUAUGAUCAGAGGAUAGCUCUGAUGAGCUGUUCUUUUGAAUUUUUUGUAUUCAUCACAUUGCACUUAGAUAAGUAGUCAUUUUAAAACCAAGCGCUCUGUCCUGGCCAGGGGGCUUAGUUGGUUGGAGCAUUGUCCUAUACACCAAAAGGUGGUGGGCUCAAUGCCUGGUCAGGGCACAUGCCUACGUUGCAGGUUCCAUCACUGGUUGGGGUGAAUGCGGGAGGCAACCGAUCAAUAUUUCUCUCUCAUAUCGAUGUUUUCUCUCUCUCUCUUCCUUCCUCUCUCUCAAAUCGAUGAAAAACAUAUCUUCGGGUGAGGAUUAAAAACAAAAAAAAGCCUAAGGGAUCUAGCAGGGUAUUGGGAACCACAGAUGUAAACACCUGAUUAUUUUCUCAAUAGCUGUUUCUCUCCAAAAGUCUUAAUUCGUAAAUAUUCCUACUAAUGACACCGACCAAAGUUUUGGAGACAGAAUGUUUCUAAUCCUGCAGGGCUCAGGACUGUACUAAGGUACUAAUUAUUCUUUUAGAAAAUAGCACUUAGUUAAGUUUUACAAAUUAUUCCAUCACAUUUGUUUCCUCUUCUGCAGCCCAGAGUGCCUGUCACAGGGAAACACCUGGUGGCCCCCAGCUUGCAUGUGGGAGGGGCACAGUUUGACCAGUUCUUGCUGAUGAGUGAGUGGCAGGCAUAGGUUGGGCUUCCAGGCCUGCCCAACUCACACAAUCCUCCCCCGGGGCUUUUACGCGCUUUCCCCUUUCCAGCCGGGGGAUGGAGAGGAUCCCCAGGAUGACCUCGGAAGCUCCAAAUGGAUUACAGAACAUCCGUCCUUCUGGGUUCCUGGAAAUUGGAGGGAGGAGAGCCGCCCGGCUGAGCUCUUCUCUAGCCCAGACUGUUAGACUAGAAAUGAUGGAGCCCUUCGUUGGGGCGACCCCUGUGAAAGGGUCGUUUGACCCCCAAAGGGGUUGCGACCCACAGGUUGAGAACCGCUGGUUUAGAGACACAUCGAUGCGAGAAACUUGGAUUGGCUGCUUCCUGCACACCCCCUACCAGAGCGAGCCCCAAGCCCAGGCAUGUGCCGACUGGGAAUCGAACCGGCGAAGGGAUGACACACCCAGCCAUCAGAGCCACACCGGCCAGGGCUCCAAGUAUCUUUUAAAGCCAUAGAAACCUUGAAAAUGAAACCUUCAGCUAUAACCCAUGUUUUAAAAACUGUCCUAAUGAGAUGGGUGUGGUGGUGGUGAUGCUCCUUCUGGCAGAUUUGAAGCCUCUUCUGAGGUAGGGUUCAAACCUGCUCCCCGGUGAGCAGACAGCACUGGGGGCUUUGUGCCUUGACUGACAUCAUCAUCUGCCCUCAUGGAGCCUCGGAUACAAAGGCACAGGCCCCAGCAAACUGACGCGCUGGGAUGUGAGCAGAAAUUGGAGUUAACUAGCUCAGGACUGGUCCGUCCUCUGAGGAGGAACCAAACAGCUUCCUGGGCCCUGGAGGCAGCGCCACUCCCUCUGAGGAAAGGAGCCCAUCAGAAUUAGGAGGUAGCAAGGCCUGUUCCAUAAUGAGAAUCUCUUCCCCUCCAGGCAAAAAAUUUAUAUAUCUCCCAGGUAUAUGGCAGUGUCAUCUUUCAUGACUCCUUGUCAUCUGAGAUAUUCUGAGCUUUCCCACAACUAGAACUUGAAAAUAUUCUGAUUUAGGCUCCAUCAGCCGGCAUCACCCACAGGGAGGCAACAGGAAGGGAGCCUGAAUUCCUCAGCUCCUGCCAGUCAGUACCUGCCCCUCACGUCAGGCCUUGGUGAAGAUCCACCGGGUUCCUGACAGCACUCUGGGUCCCUGUGGCUGGCACCACCUGGCCCAAAUCGGGGAGAUGGAAAUCUGGGGUCCAGAAGGCCUUGCCUUCUCAGGGGCCUGGGUAUUGUUAA